UAGCCUAGUGGUUAAGGCUAUGGAUCGCCAAUCCAGAGACGGCGGGUUCGAUUCCCAU
rnacentral:tRNA from 1 species